rnacentral:tRNA from 1 species
AAUAUAAUGCCUGAACAAAGGGUAGUUUCGAUAGAACUAAUAACGUGUAUUUACUUCACUUAUAUUA